AUAGUUCUUUCCUUCUCUCCUCUCAGCUAGGGUUCCCACCACCGCCGCUGCCGCCGCCACCCUCACCAGCGCUCGUGCUUCGUAUCCCGUCCCGAGCUCCACCUAUCAUCCAACGCCGUCUCCCGCCGCCGGCGUCUGGCAGCGCGUUGGCGCCGCCGCGGCCACGCUACUUGAGGCGGUCCUUGUCGCCGUCGCGUUGGGGCGCCAGCGCCUCCGCCGCAGGGCUCCGGUCGAAGGGAUCCCCGCGCUGGAGGACGGCUGCACGGUCGCUCACGGCAAAGGGAGCGAGGCAGUCGAUGGCCUGACGGACCUCAUCAUCGUCGGAGCCGGGGUGGCCGGAUCCUAAUUUCUUCACUUUCUUCCUUUGCCAUGUUCCUCCACCCUGCAGGUGUAAUUUCUUCAUUUUCUAUGAAAGCAUUCACAUCUAUUUUUCCAGUUUCUCCCGUCGGGAUUUCUGAUUUUGGUUCUGAAGUGUGGAGGUGGAUGUUACUUGGUUUUGUGGGGAAAAGAAAUAUAGUCAACUAACUCCGUAGUGAUGAAACCUUAGUAUCUGGGAUGAAGACCCAGCAUGAUCUGCGCCGCAUCUAUUCGUAAUGGAAUUUGUGUUAAUAGCCAUAUAAGAAUGGCCACAGUAGGAAUAUCUGUUGAUGUCUACCUUACUUAAAUCUGUCCUGAUCUUCGGUGUGCAUUGUGGGGCGAAAGUUUGCUUUUGUAUGUGGUGUGCAACAACAAUUAAAAAUAUGGGCUGCUGAUUCAUGGAAAAUAUGUGAUCAAACUCUGUGCAAUAUGCCACGGCAUUGGACCUGACCUAGCAUAAAUGAUUAUUAAUUGCAAUAUUUUACUUGUAGACUGAUUUUACAAGAUAAAUCAAAUAGCUGAUAGAUAAUUUAUCCUAUUAAGCCUAUUCAAAUACAGUGUUGCUUGUUUUGGUUUCCUUAUCUGUCAGCUGCUUUGUUCGAUUGCUUGGCCUCGCUUUUGUCGAUCGGCAAGGUGAGAUGUGCUCUCAUGGCUUUACUUCGUUGAUUCGUUCUAUAUUGUAAAAAGGUGCUCUCUGUUUGUUCCUGGUUCCCUUUGGUUCGCUUGCUCCUUGCUUGUUGGAGGAUGUGUUUGUGCGUUCUGGCUCAUGUGCAUGCUCGUGUGGUGUCAUCAGUUUUCAGUGCGCUGCAGUCCCUGUUUAGUUUGGUUCUUUGGGUGUCACUUGUGCAUGUGUCGGUCUAUCCAAUGAUUACUGUAAACCACCAGCCAAUGGUUGCUGCUUGCUGACUAUAGGCAUGGUGACUGUUUCAGUUGGUGCUUUGGAAAGGAUGGAUGCAGUGGGUGGUGCUUGUUGCUUUGUGAUGAUGGCCGUCUACUAAUGUUUAAUCUCUGUGUUUUGUAAAGCAACUAUACCCCCUGCUCAUUGUUUUAUAUGGAUGAUGUGCUCUAUGAGUUACCUGCUUGUUGUUUUUAUGCACUUCUCUUAAUUCAUUUUUCCCCUUUAUAGUCCACUGAUUCAUCUAUAGUAUACUGCUAGGUUCUUCGCUUGACUGGAUUGUAGGUGGCCUUGUGUGCUCUCGUUUCGUUUUCAGCUGAGUGCUCUUUGUCAGCUGCUCUGCUUGCCGUGGUUUGCCCUUGCUCUCCUAAAUCCCCUAUUACUCACAAAUUUUCAUGUUCAGUACGUGUUUCAGUUUCAUUUCUUGAUUUAUUUCCCUGCUUGCAUUUAUAUCAUCUAUCUCACUUCAGUUUCACCCUCUUUGACUGCUACACUGAACGCAUGUAUAUCACACUGACGUACUUAAGAUUCACGUAUUUAAAUAUGUGUGGUCUGGUUAUGUGUAUCACAUGUCUUUUACCAUUUGAGUUUCACAUUUGAUUCCUUUCAUUUCCAGUGUGAUACAUAAAUGAUUGGGGCUUUCCAAUUUGGUGCUGAAAUUUAAGCAGCCACUUCAAUUUAGUGCUAUUCGGCACUGAGAUGCAAUGUAACCAAUUACAGAGCUUUAAUUCAUGGUAGACAAAAAUCGCAGAAUGGUGCAUGUUGUGAUUAAUCAAGUCUUUGGCUUCCCAACGAUGUAUUAUUGGGUCACUUGUGUAGUGUUUAACAUGCCCAUGGGAAUCAAUCAUGUGAUCCUGUGGCUUUCGUGUUGUUCACCUCACCACAUUUGAUGGAUGUCCGGGAGUGGUUCUGGCUACAUGGGUAAUUUAUUCAUCCAUUGUUCUUGUUCUUAUUUGUUUCUUAUGGUGUUGCUAAGUGUACUCAUAAUUAUUCAAAAUUACAUGUAAAUAUGUUUUGCCAUCCUUUAAGUUUAUCAUUUUUUUCCCACUGAAAACUGUAGGGCAAUUAUAACGUUGUCUUUUGUAUUAGUUAUGCGCUUAUCCUGCUAUGUAGGUAUAGGAGUUACAUAUUUCGAAUUCGCGCGUGUUAGUUACACAGGUAAGUUUUGCCUUACAAGUAACAUGCUUUCUAGAAUCUUGCUUCCUUUUUAUCAGUUAUUUUGCACUCCGUCUCACUAGAAUCUUGCUUCCUUUUUGUAAUGACUACGUAUUUUGCACUCCGUCUCACACCUUCUUUUCUUUCAUUGGAUCUUACUCUCAAGUUGUCCAAGGUAAUGAUUUUCAUUACCUCACUGCCCUUAGGAGGGGCUCAUCACAUUUGCUCCUGAUUCCAUGUUGCCAUUUCUAUACAUUAUUUUUGGUUAAUCAAUUUUUGUUCUUCUGACCAGUGCCACUAUUGGCAACUAUCUUCAGUGCUUCUCAAAUGAUGAUAAUUAAAUAAACCUCCCUUGCAAAGAUGGAAAAGACCAUUUAAUUGUUAAUUAGAAGUUGGGAGAAUAUUGUAACCAUUCGCUGGCAGGUUGAUCAAAGAGUUGUCAUCAUGAUUAUUCGCUUAUUUUAAUAUCAAACAUUUUGAGGUAUAUCAAUCAUGGUAAGUUUCUCAGCCUCUUCACAUUGCACGCAUAAUAUCUUUUGCUUUCCUAGGAAUAUGAUAAAUCCAUGACUUAGGAUAAACACUGAUAUGUUGAGAUCCCUACUUUUACUAAUAUCCUACUUCUACUGAUGCCAGUUUCAACUGAUAUGUAUUCAUGGCUUAAGAUGAACGAUACAUUAUGCAUUGCAUAUGAACCAUAAUUUUGCUGCAGCUUUAGUUGAUAAUCGACAACAAAAUAUUUCUAUAGUAAUUUGUUGAAUUCUGGAGUAAGCAUGAAAUGCAUUUGCAUGACCUGAGAUUCGCCAAUGUGCUCCUAUUUUUCAAAUAGGCAGGAAUGAAAAGGUGGUUCAGAAUUGAUGGAUAUUCUCCCCCAUGCUUGUUUACUUGUGGCCAUGUUUGUUGCUUAUAUCUCCAUACUUAUGUGUAUUAAUCAGACAUUUGCUCUUUUCUGUUUGUAGACAACUGGAGUGUGUCCUUUGCAUUCACUGCACAUCAGUGCAGUCCAAAUAUUAUAUGCAAUCAAGAAAAACGGAAAAUAUUAAAUAUUACGAGUCAGAUAUCAGCUGCUGGUGUCAGGCAGUGGGCAAAUGGAGAAUGGAGACGAUGACGCCGCGGUCCAUGGAGCUGUUCGUGACGCACGAUCACGCGGCGAAGGAGCAAGCGGAUUCUCAGCUGACAUGGUUGCAGCUGGAGGAACACCCCGCGUGGUUGAGCAGGGGCACACUUUUGAGAGGUUCGUGUACUUUGUGAGCACAUUGGACAUGCUGGAGAUGGUGAAUAUAUUCUAUGCUAAAAUGUUUCAUCUAGAUGGGGCUAACAAACGUCAAACCUAACUCAUGCCCAUAUAUAUAUAUCUCAUGUAGUGAACUCUAGAUGGAGCCUUGGUAAUACUUUUGUGUGUGAUACUGAUAUCCCACGUACUGAAUUUCAAGCCUUCGAAUGCUCUUGUGUCACAUAUAGCUUCUCUUUGUUAGCUUCAUUUCCUUUUGGAUUUGGAUUGUCUAACUGAAUUAUGCUCUGUGUGACUCUAAUCACAUAUACUACUUCCUAUAA